GAUGAACGCUGGCGGCGUGCCUAAUACAUGCAAGUCGAGCGAGAAGCUUGGAAAUGACGCUUCGGUUGAUUUUCCAAGCGGACAGCGGCGGACGGGUGAGUAACGCGUAGGCAACCUACCCCUGACAGAGGGAUAGCCAUUGGAAACGAUGAUUAAAACCUCAUGACACCGUAGUAGCACAUGCUACAUCGGUCAAAGAUUUAUCGGUCAGGGAUGGGCCUGCGUCUGAUUAACUGGUUGGUGAGGUAACGGCUCACCAAGGUGACGAUCAGUAGCCGACCUGAGAGGGUGAUCGGCCACAUUGGAACUGAGACACGGUCCAAACUUCUACGGAAGGCAGCAGUAGGGAAUCUUGCACAAUGGGCGAAAGCCUGAUGCAGCAACGCCGCGUGAAGGAUGAAGGCCUUCGGGUUGUAAACUUCUGUUCUAAGGGAAGAAAGAAAUGACGGUACCUUAGGAGCAAGCCCCGGCUAACUACGUGCCAGCAGCCGCGGUAAUACGUAGGGGGCAAGCGUUAUCCGGAAUUAUUGGGCGUAAAGAGUGCGUAGGUGGUUACCUAAGCGCAAGGUUUAAAUUAGAGGCUCAACCUCUACAUGCCUUGCGAACUGGGCUACUUGAGCGCAGGAGGGGAAAGCGGAAUUCCUAGUGUAGCGGUGAAAUGCGUAGAUAUUAGGAGGAACACCGGCGGCGAAGGCGGCUUUCUGGACUGUAACUGACACUGAGGCACGAAAGCGUGGGUAGCAAACAGG
rnacentral:rRNA from 1 species